CCCUAUGUUCUAUUAUUAGCCGUGGCAGCCAUUUUGGUUUAUUGGCCAGGUCACGCCACACAUUUUUUAAACAAGUUACCCCAAUGAUGAUUGUGGCCAAGUUUAGUUUAAUUUGGCCCAGUAGUUUCAGAGAAGAAGAUUUUUGUAAAAGAUUACUAAGAUUUACGAAAAAUGGUUAAAAAUUGACUAUAAAGGUCAAUAACUCCUAAAGGGGUCAACUGACCAUUUUGGUCAUGUUGACUUAUUUGUAAAUCUUACUUUGCUGAACAUUAUUGCUGUUUACAGUUUAUCUCUAUCUAUAAUAAUAUUCAAGAUAAUAGCCAAAAACAGCAAAAAUUCCCUAAAAUUACCAGUUCAGGGGCAGCAACCCAAUAACGGGUUGUCGGAUUCAUCUGAAAAUUUCAGCGCAGAUAGAUCUUGACCUGAUAAACAAUUUUAACCCGUCAGAUUUGCUCUAAAUGCUUUGGUUUUUGAGUUAUAAGCCAAAAACUGCAUUUUACCCCUAUGUUCUAUUUUUAGCCAUGGCGGCCAUCUUGGUUGGUUGUCCGGGUCACGCCACACAUUUUUUAAACUAGAUACCCCAAUGAUGAUUGUGGCCAAGUUUGGUUUAAUUUGGCCCAGUAGUUUCAGAGGAGAAGAUUUUUUGUAAAAGUUAACGACGACGGACGACGACGGACGACGGACGCCAAGUGAUGGGAAAAGCUCACUUGGCCCUUCGGGCCAGGUGAGCUAAAAAUAAAACGGUGCGGGAAAUGGACAUGAUUACAUUUCCGGAUGCGGGAAGCGGGAAUAUAAAAAAAAAAAAAAAAUUCUGUUUUGAAAAAAAUAGGUGCGGGCGGGUCCGUCGAACAAGGAAUCAAACUGGUGUGGCC
rnacentral:lncRNA from 1 species